rnacentral:rRNA from 1 species
CUGCGAAUGGCUCAUUAUAUAAGUUAUCGUUUAUUUGAUAGUAUCUUGCUACUUGGAUAACCGUGGUAAUUCUAGAGCUAAUACAUGCUAAAAAUCCCGACUUCGGAAGGGAUGUAUUUAUUAGAUUAAAAACCAAUGCCCUCUGGGCUCUCUUGGUGAAUCAUGAUAACUUCUCGAAUCGCAGGGCCUUGCGCCGGCGAUGGUUCAUUCAAAUUUCUUCCCUAUCAACUUUCGAUGUUUGGGUAGUGGCCAAACAUGGUUGCAACGGGUAACGGAGGGUUAGGGCUCGACCCCGGAGAAGGAGCCUGAGAAACGGCUACUACAUCCAAGGAAGGCAGCAGGCGCGCAAAUUACCCAAUCCCGAUCCGGGGAGGUAGUGACAAUAAAUACUGAUACAGGGCUCUUUUGGGUCUUGUAAUUGGAAUGAGUACAAUUUAAAUCCCUUAACGAGGAACAAUUGGAGGGCAAGUCUGGUGCCAGCAGCCGCGGUAAUUCCAGCUCCAAUAGCGUAUAUUAAAGUUGUUGUGGUUAAAAAGCUCGUAGUUGAACCUUGGGCCUGGCUGGCCGGUCCGCCUCACCGCGUGCACUGGUCCGGCCGGGCCUUUCCCUCUGUGGAACCCCAUGCCCUUCACUGGGUGUGGCGGGGAAACAGGACUUUUACUUUGAAAAAAUUAGAGUGCUCCAGGCAGGCCUAUGCUCGAAUACAUUAGCAUGGAAUAAUGAAAUAGGACGUGCGGUUCUAUUUUGUUGGUUUCUAGGACCGCCGUAAUGAUUAAUAGGGACAGUCGGGGGCAUCAGUAUUCAAUUGUCAGAGGUGAAAUUCUUGGAUUUAUUGAAGACUAACUACUGCGAAAGCAUUUGCCAAGGAUGUUUUCAUUAAUCAGGAACGAAAGUUAGGGGAUCGAAGACGAUCAGAUACCGUCGUAGUCUUAACCAUAAACUAUGCCGACUAGGGAUCGGACGAUGUUAUUUUUUGACUCGUUCGGCACCUUACGAGAAAUCAAAGUGCUUGGGCUCCAGGGGGAGUAUGGUCGCAAGGCUGAAACUUAAAGAAAUUGACGGAAGGGCACCACCAGGGGUAAACCUGACCUGUGAAGCCGCAGUCAACUCUGCUCCAGAAAGCCGCCCGAAAGGGUCGGUGGUGUUCCUAGGGGAGAGCUCUCCCCUAAACUAAUGGCUAGUCCUGCCGCCCGCGGCAGGGCGACACCCUCAAACUGACGGGGAACUCCUAAAGCCCUCGCUCCGGACAGGCGUCGGGAAACCGACGGCCUGCUCACCAGGCUAACGACCUCGGGUAUCGGAAGCAACGCGAGAGGAUGCUACAAUGGACAAUCCGCAGCCAAGCCCCUACGGUGCGGCCUCUACGGGGGUCGCAUACGGGGAAGGUUCAGAGACUUGACGGGGGUGGGUGGCGCGGGCUCUUGGGGUGCAAGCCGCGUGCUUGCUUGCAGGCCCAGGCGCCCGCCGCUGCCUAAGAUAAAGUCCGGGCGUGCGCGAAAGCGUGCGCGGCAACCACGCAACCCGCCGUUUCCAGCGGGUGCGAGGCCCCAGAAGUAAAAACAACCGGGAGCCUGCGGCUUAAUUUGACUCAACACGGGGAAACUCACCAGGUCCAGACACAAUGAGGAUUGACAGAUUGAGAGCUCUUUCUUGAUUUUGUGGGUGGUGGUGCAUGGCCGUUCUUAGUUGGUGGAGUGAUUUGUCUGCUUAAUUGCGAUAACGAACGAGACCUUAACCUGCUAAAUAGCCCGUAUUGCUUUGGCAGUACGCCGGC